AGAGUUUGAUCAUGGCUCAGGACGAACGCUGGCGGCGUGCUUAACACAUGCAAGUCGAACGGAAAGGCCCUUCGGGGUACUCGAGUGGCGAACGGGUGAGUAACACGUGGGUGAUCUGCCCUGCACUUUGGGAUAAGCCUGGGAAACUGGGUCUAAUACCGAAUAGGACCGCGCGCUUCAUGGUGUGUGGUGGAAAGCUUUUGCGGUGUGGGAUGGGCCCGCGGCCUAUCAGCUUGUUGGUGGGGUAAUGGCCUACUAAGGCGACGACGGGUAGCCGGCCUGAGAGGGUGACCGGCCACACUGGGACUGAGAUACGGCCCAGACUCCUACGGGAGGCAGCAGUGGGGAAUAUUGCACAAUGGGCGCAAGCCUGAUGCAGCGACGCCGCGUGAGGGAUGACGGCCUUCGGGUUGUAAACCUCUUUCACCAGGGACGAAGCGCAAGUGACGGUACCUGGAGAAGAAGCACCGGCCAACUACGUGCCAGCAGCCGCGGUAAUACGUAGGGUGCGAGCGUUGUCCGGAAUUACUGGGCGUAAAGAGCUCGUAGGUGGUUUGUCGCGUUGUUCGUGAAAACUCACAGCUUAACUGUGGGCGUGCGGGCGAUACGGGCAGACUAGAGUACUGCAGGGGAGACUGGAAUUCCUGGUGUAGCGGUGGAAUGCGCAGAUAUCAGGAGGAACACCGGUGGCGAAGGCGGGUCUCUGGGCAGUAACUGACGCUGAGGAGCGAAAGCGUGGGGAGCGAACAGGAUUAGAUACCCUGGUAGUCCAA
rnacentral:rRNA from 1 species